UCCCCCUUUCCGGAAGUGGGUGUGGUCGGGUCUCCCUGCUGCCCUGGAGGCUGAGGGACAGGUAUGGAGUGAGGGAGACCCCUCCGCACGUCCUGAGGUGUGCACUUUCCAUAUAAAGAUUUAAAAUGGCUUCAAGAGGAGCAAUAGAGACCAGUAAACUAAAACAGAACUUGGAAGAGCAGUUGGACAGGUUAAUGCAGCAGCUGCAAGACCUGGAGGAGUGCAGAGAGGAACUGGAUACAGAUGAGUAUGAAGAAACCAAAAAAGAAACUCUAGAACAAUUAAGUGAGUUCAAUGACUCACUGAAGAAGAUCAUGUCUGGAAAUAUGACUUUGAUAGAUGAACUCAGUGGGAUGCAGCUGGCUAUACAAGCAGCCAUCAGCCAGGCUUUUAAAACUCCAGAAGUCAUUAGAAUGUUUGCAAAGAAACAGCCAGGGCAGUUACGGACAAGGUUGGCAGAGAUGGACCGAGAUCUGAUGGUUGGGAAACUGGGACGGGACCUAUACACGCAGCAGAAAGGGGAAAUCCUAACUGCCCUCAGGAAGCUUGGAGAGAAGCUGACUCCAGAUGAUGAGACUUUCCUGUCAGCAAAUGCAGGUGCAGCCCUCAGCCAGUUUGAGAGAGUCUCUAGUGACCUUGGAUCUGGAGACAAAGUCUUUGCUCUCGCCAGUGUUGAAGUAGAAAAAUCAAAACAAUGAAGAGGUGUGUGGGGCUAGAGUUUCUCCUGUUCUCAGCAACAUUGGACUUCUAUCAUAUUCUCUAAAUGUGGAGGAAGUAUGUGAAAUAUCAUUGGCAAAUGGAACAGCUGGCUGAGAGUAGAGCGGCAUACUAUUAUUAUACAGCACCCCACAGAGAAAGCGUGACUGUGGAAAUCUGAUGUGUUCAUGAGUCACAGACGCACUCAGUCCCCAUUCUGACAAGCUUUUGAUAGAGACAGAAAUCUGAUUCUGGAAACUACUCAUCAGUCUAUGCAGGAUUCGCAUUUGGAGGAUUUUUCCUUCAGUCCUGGAAGCUAGAGAUUUUUUUGUUUGUUUGUUUUUUGUUAAUGAAAACUUAACCAGUGCUGCAAAACUUACAGUAAUAUAUUGAUUCAGCAUUAAAUUUCACAGCAACUGAAAUGCAUGGGGCCCUGAUUACACUGUAGUUUAUUCUGAACUGUGGAAAAUUUCUCUUGUAUGAUAGUACUUGUGAUUACUGUCUUCACCAAAAACAAAACAGUAUGUUGUAUCUACCUAAAAUAUUGAACCUGUACUGGUGAAAAAACUUAGCUUUUGACCCUAACUACAUCAUUUCUGAGGGACAGAUUAUAAAUUUGAUAAUGUUCUUAAUGGUUAUAACUAAUAUAGUAACUAAUAUAGUAACCUCUAUCUAGUUUUUCCCUUCAGCUGGGAAUUUCACUUCUAGAGAUGGUCUGUAAUUUAUGCUAAAUUGUUUGGGAUAUGCAAAAAGCCAUCUAGAAUCUCAUUGGAUUUUCCCCCUUAUGUGAUAUGGUUACACUGAAGCAGUUGAUCAGUUAAAACCUCUUAAACAAUAACUAAUUUGAGAGCUCAAAACAAAUCUCAUUAAACACUUGCAAAAA